rnacentral:rRNA from 1 species
AGAGUUUGAUCAUGGCUCAGGACGAACGCUGGCGGCGCGCCUAACACAUGCAAGUCGAACGAGAGAUGAGGAGCUUGCUCUUCAAAUCGAGUGGCGAACGGGUGAGUAACGCGUGAGGAACCUGCCUCAAAGAGGGGGACAACAGUUGGAAACGACUGCUAAUACCGCAUAAGCCCACGGCUCGGCAUCGAGCAGAGGGAAAAGGAGCAAUCCGCUUUGAGAUGGCCUCGCGUCCGAUUAGCUGGUUGGUGAGGUAACGGCCCACCAAGGCAACGAUCGGUAGCCGGACUGAGAGGUUGAACGGCCACAUUGGGACUGAGACACGGCCCAGACUCCUACGGGAGGCAGCAGUGGGGAAUAUUGCACAAUGGGGGAAACCCUGAUGCAGCGACGCCGCGUGGAGGAAGAAGGUCUUCGGAUUGUAAACUCCUGUUGUUGAGGAAGAUAAUGACGGUACUCAACAAGGAAGUGACGGCUAACUACGUGCCAGCAGCCGCGGUAAAACGUAGGUCACAAGCGUUGUCCGGAAUUACUGGGUGUAAAGGGAGCGCAGGCGGGAGAACAAGUUGGAAGUGAAAUCCAUGGGCUCAACCCAUGAACUGCUUUCAAAA